rnacentral:rRNA from 1 species
AAUGAACGUUGGCGGCGUGGAUUAGGCAUGCAAGUCGCGCGAGAAAUUUCCUUCGGGAGAUGGAAAGCGGCGAAAGGGAGAGGAAUAAGUAGAAAUCUGCCCUCGGGACGGGGAUAGCGGCGGGAAACUGCCGGUAAUACCCGAUAACAUCUUCGGAUCAAAUGGUUUGAUUCCGCCCGGGGAUGAGUCUACUUCCUAUUAGCUAGUUGGCGGGGUAAUGGCCCACAAAGGCAACGAUGGGUAGCGGGUGUGAGAGCACGAUCCGCCUCACUGGGACUGAGACACUGCCCAGACACCUACGGGUGGCUGCAGUCGAGAAUCUUCGGCAAUGGGGGAAACCCUGACCGAGCGACGCCGCGUGCGGGAUGAAGGCCCUCGGGUUGUAAACCGCUGUCGUAAGGGAACAAAUCUAUGAGGGUACUCUCUCAUAGUUGAGUGAUCUUAGGAGGAAGGACGGGCUAAGUUCGUGCCAGCCGCCGCAGUAAGAC